AUUGAACGCUGGCGGCAGGCUUAACACAUGCAAGUCGAGCGAGCGGCGGACGGGUGAGUAAUGUCUGGGAAACUGCCUGAUGGAGGGGGAUAACUACUGGAAACGGUAGCUAAUACCGCAUACCAUCAGAUGUGCCCAGAUGGGAUUAGCUAGUAGGUUGGGUAAUGGCUCACCUAGGCGUCGAUCCCUAGCUGGUCUGCGCGGAUGACCCGCAACAUGGGAACUGAGACACGGUCCAUACUCCGACGGGAGGCAGCAGUGGGGAAUAUUGGACAAUGGGCGCCAGCCUGAUGCAGCCAUGCCGCGUGUGUGAAGAAGGCCUUCGGGUUGUAAAUCACUUUCAGCGAGGAGUCGUUACUCGCAGAAGAAGCACCGGCUAACUCCGUGCCAGCAGCCGCGGUAAUUC
rnacentral:rRNA from 1 species